GCCACCGCACAUGAAGGCAGACCAUGGUGAUGAGCUUCCUUUUGUUUUCAGAAGUUUCUUUGGGGGCAACUACAUUAAAUUCACUGAGGAAGAGGAGCAGCUAAGCAGGAAGAUGAUGAAGUACUGGGCCAACUUUGCGAGAAAUGGAGACGUGUCUCCCUGUGUUGCCCAGGCUGGUCUCAAACUCCUGGGCUCAAGCGAUCUUCCUGCCCCAUCCUCCUAAAGCACUGGGAUUACAGGGCCCGAAGUUGCUCAGCCUGAAGUAGACACCACCCUGGGUCGUGUGCGAGGCCGGCAGGUGGGCGUGAAGGGCACAG
rnacentral:lncRNA from 10 species